CCUACGGGAGGCAGCAGUGAGGAAUAUUGGUCAAUGGGCGCGAGCCUGAACCAGCCAAGUAGCGUGAAGGAUGACUGCCCUACGGGUUGUAAGCAUCUUUUAUAAAGGAAUAGAGUGAGGCACGUGUGCCUUUUUGUAUGUACUUUAUGAAUAAGAGUCGGCUAACUCCGUGCCAGCAGCCGCGGUAAUACGGAGGAUCCGAGCGUUAUCCGGAUUUAUUGGGUUUAAAGGGAGCGUAGAUGGGUUGUUAAGUCAGUUGGGAAAGUUUGCGGCUCAACCGUAAAAUUGCAAUUGAUACUGGCAGUCUUGAGUACAGUUGAGGUGGGCGGAAUUCGUGGUGUAGCGGUGAAAUGCUUAGAGAUCACGAAGAACUCCGAUGGCGAAGGCAGCUUACUAAACGGCCACUGACAUUGAGGCUCGAAAGUGUGGGUAUCAAACAGGAUUAGAUACCCUAGUAGUC
rnacentral:rRNA from 1 species